ACUCCCAGUAAACCUUCUGCAUCCCUUCCGUCCUCGGGGCAUCUGCUUCUAGAGGGUGCCUACCACUCAGAGCGCCUGCCUGGGUGAACCACGAUUAAGACAAUAUGGACGACGUUUGGAGUCCGGAGUCGGCACAUGCAGCAGCAGAUGACUGAUACACCAGGUACCAAGACAAACGUCCCCUGGAAUGCAGAGCCAGACCUCCAAAACCAGGUCUGCCUGUUGCAAAGGUCCAUGCUCUGCUCAGAACACUGUGCUGUGAGGACCUGCACUGGAGACAAUUCAAGAGGAGAGCACUGAAGGCCGGAACAGAACCAUGUAGUGGAGAAGACAGGAUGGCAGGUGUGGACUGCGUAGCAAUAAUCUGAGUGGAACAUAGAGAAAGCAGAGAGGAAGUAAACCCAGGCUUCAGACGUGCUGUCUGAGAGGGGAAAGGGAGCUGAUACGGGCUCCAAGGGCCCACCAGCCUGUGUUUUGGCUCCGAGUGACCGUGUAAACAUGCACAUGAGAAGCACAGGUGUGAGGAAGGCUUAUAAGCUCUCAAGGCUAACAGGGUGACAUGGAACUUUGACUCCCUCCAGCAUUCAGUUUCCCCAGGGGCUCCCACGAGAUCCAAGAAGGGAGAACCCACUGCAGCAAAUAUGGAAACACACUGAACACUCGGUCGGAGGAUCGAUCCUACUUGGAGCAAGUGCCCAUAUGUUAACCACAGCAAAGGAAAACGAGUCCGUUCAAGGCUCUGGAGAAGGGGGUCUCUAGAAGUUUCCAGGACACAGAAGGAUGAGAAAAGAAGAUCGUGGCAGUACUGCCCAAUGAGGGCAUAUAAAAUCCAGUUGAUACUCUCUGGUAUUUGGAGGAAAGAGGAGGAAGAUGAGGUUCUUUCCAGCUAAAGAAGAAGAAUACGUUCGUGUUUCUAGCACCUCUCCACGGUCAGAGUUUGGCGUACUGACCUGUAAACUGUCAGAUGAGUAAGGCAGCCAGUAUUGCUCUCAGCUGACGGAAGGGGAAAUUGAGACGCACAGAAGUUCAAUGGUUUUGCCAAAGUCACAUGGCCAGGAAGAAAGAGAACCCACCCAUCUGACGCUUAGCUCAAUGAUCCAUAGCACGUUGGCUCUCGAAGUAAAAGUCAAGUCAGCGGGCUCCUAUCCUCCAGGCUGGAGUCAAGACAAUUUUAUUUGAAACCUUUAAUAAAACCAUUUGUGUCUUUUA